UGUGUACCUUGCAAAUUAUCCAUUUC
rnacentral:piRNA from 1 species